rnacentral:rRNA from 1 species
UACGAGGGGGGCAAGCGUUGUUCGGAAUUAUUGGGCGUAAAGGGCGCGUAGGCGGCGUUUUAAGUCGGGGGUGAAAGCCUGUGGCUCAACCACAGAAUGGCCUCGAUACUGGGACGCUUGAGUAUGGUAGAGGUUGGUGGAACUGCGAGUGUAGAGGUGAAAUUCGUAGAUAUUCGCAAGAACACCGGUGGCGAAGGCGGCCAACUGGACCAUUACUGACGCUGA